AUCCAGAGACCACACUAAAAUGGUGGCUGACGUGGAGACAGAGGAAGCUCCUUUCUAGUUAUGGCCACAAGGCAGGAUGCUGAGGUGUUGUCUAGGCUCAGUUGGAUCUCCAAGUGGCGGUACCGUUCUCUCCACUUCAAAAAUACACAGAAACAUGUGGAAAUGUUCUGUCAUCCAGAAUGAAAAGCAUGUGCACCAAAUUUUCACAGACCUGAUUCGAAUGUAGAUAAAAGUGCAAAAUCCAGAGGAGGGAACACGCUAUAGAAAUCCUGUCUUCUAUACUAUAAUUUAAUCAUCGUGUGCCACAGAAUGUCUUUGCAUAAAUUACAACCACAAUAAUAGCAUCACUUUCACAAAAGGUGGCCUCUAAUCGAUUUGACUCUCCAAGAGAUGGCUGGGUUUUUCAAAGCAGAGAAAUGAUGACCUGCAGUCUUAAAGAGCUGUUGAUUGCACCUGGGGCUCCCGUGGCCGGCGCCCAUCGAGCAGCCCAUCCUGGCUGUUCCCUUGUUCAGCUGAUUUUCUUUUUUAUCUUGACAUUUGCUAACCGCUUGGUUUUUAUUUUCCGGGAAGAGAGGAUUAUUGGCAACUGGCACCACCCCCAUGUCUGGAGGAGGGACGUUUCUAGGAUGACCCCCAGAGUGGAGAAAUAGCCGAGCUCAUGAGGCAACCCACACAGGCAGGCUGGAGAGGAGUGGCAAGAAGCUCACCUUCGGACAGUAGUGAGCAGAGCAACAGAGGCCCCCAGAGACUUCGCACAACGGAAAAGAGAUCAACUCCCGCAUUUGCAGGGGACGUGAAAGUGCAAUACUGUGAGGAACAAAAGGAAGCCUCAUCUCUGGAAGCCGGGAGGAAAAACAGUCGGUGUAGACAGCAGCGGCAGGGACCAGAGCUGACCAGAAGGCUGGGUCCCAGCAACAAUUAGAGACAGGCAGCAGCUGAGGCCCCUUCUCUGAGAACCAUUUCAAUUGCACAGUGGCCACAGAAGGCUCCAUUGGCCCGGCAGCCAGCUCUGCAGAGCCAUUUGUCCACAAGGAAAAUAAUAGCCCCGGCCUCAUUGCUUUGGGCUGCAGGGAGGACAAUGACCCACCAUGAAAAGAGUUAAAAAGAUUCUGGGGAAGGGGAAAGGCAGGCCCACACGGUGGCAAUUCAAGAUCUUUUGGAUGCCGUGAGCGUGUUCUUUAAUUAAGCCCCUCUUCUUCAGCUCAUCCUGCAGAAACGCACCUGCUUCCCAUCUGCCAUCCAAAACGGCAAGCACAAGAAUGACUUCACACUGUCACUUUCAGAGUUCCGCUGUGGCCCACAGUGAUUUUUCAAGAAAGGCAGCCACAGACUCGCUCGCGCUUUCUCUUUCUCCUUUCCUCUGAAAGACUCUAUAAAAACCACAUUAAAAAGUGUGUGAGCCAAGCAAUUUCAUUUAUCAAAGGAAGAAGGUCAUCCAUAGCAUUCAUUCUAAGAAUAUCAGGCACACGGCCAGCCCUGGACACAAGGCAUGAAGACCAGAGGGCCCUUUAUUGACCUAAUCUCUAUUUUGUCGCCAAACUGCAUCUGUGUCUGAAAGCUGGGACACACAAUAUUUCCCUCUACCAAAAUAAUUUUAUUUUCUGCAGCAGCAUGUAACAAACAAUUAAUGGUGGUAACAUGGGCUUCUGUCAUUUUCUGAACAACCCAGUUCUGUUUGGUGUUACUGCAGUGGUUGUUAUUUUGGGUGGUUCUGUGCUUAUUCCAUUCUGCCAAUUGGUCCCAUUCGCAUGGGCGUGAGCCCGUGCCGUCAUCUACCACCUUGGAAUCCAUGUUAUUGCCAGAACUGUGUGGGGCCUUGCUUGAGGGCCUGUCCCCUGUCCUCUUCACAGAUGUUUCUGUGCCUUCAGGGAGAGGACUGAUUGUGCUGUCUCCCUCUCCCACCCGUGUCUGCUGUCUCCAAAACUAAGGGAGGCUGCGGUGAAACCAGCCUGGCCCAGGUUCCUCUGGUGCCUGCCGUGGCUCAAAUUAUCCAAACUACAGUGGCUGAUUCCCAGCGACCCAUCCCUUAGUGCCCUUGUGCCCCGUUGAAGAAGUGGCCCAUGUUAUGAAUAGGGAAGCUAAGGUCAUUAAGAAUUUGUGCAGGCGUACAAAGAAAGUGCAAGUCAGAGAUCCUUGUCUCAGCUACUUUGCUUGAAAAAUGACUCCAUGCUCUGAGAUGCUAUAAAUGGAGCAAACAGUGUGAAGUGGUUCUCCCCCUCCAAGAAACUGCCCCCUGAUGCGUUCCCCCAUUAGACACCUGCUCCUCCAAGCCUGGUCUUCUCUCUGCAACCACUUCCCCUAUGCCUCUCCCCACCCACCAUGCAUGACUCCUUGUCACACACAUGAUCUCUGGUCCUACCUUGCACUUGGUGCUGGGGGCUGUGAUUCCCUCUGCCUCUGUCUCCCCACAUCGUCCCUGACAUCACCUUUCACCGUGCACUGGUCUCGCUUCCUCGGGAACUCUAUGAAUGGCCUUGUUCUCUGAUUAUUUGAUUAUUCCAUUAUCAACCCAAAGCUCACUGGGUCUAUGGGGCUGAGAGGUCGUUUUUAUUACAUCAUUUUAAUUAUUCAGAUAAAAGACUCGCAGGCACAGAUUUAUCACCACUGCCUAAAGAAAAGCAGAGACACACAUAAUUCCAUUUUGAAAAUCCAUUCUUAAAAGCAAAAAUAUGAUUCAGUUGAAGGUAUUCAGAAAAAAAAAUGCUCAUUGAAAAACCCUGAUGAUUUUUAGCAUUUCAAAUAAAUUGUGUACAGUUACGGUCAUUUGUUAACUAUUUUGGAGACUGCGAGCUGAUCAUUAUCUCUCUUUUUCAGAUAACAAAAUGUAUCUACCUUCUCCCAGAGUGUAAACUAAUCUGGUGGCUGGAAAAAGCAAACAAACAAACAAAGAUCUGUUAAGAAAGAUCUGAUUUUUCAAAUGGCGCAUACCAUUCCUUGAAACAGAGGUGAUGAAUAGGUAGAGACAAAAGCAUCAAACAUCCAGGCAGGACCUGUUUAUCUCUGGGCAGAAAUCUGUUCAAUUCCAUGAUAAAACAAGGUUUGAAGUCAGGGAUUCAAUUUCACAAACUAAACAGACGUGUGCACACACAUGUGCACACUGUGCAUGUCCCAGUGCACACACGCAGAACCCAUUUCGUAGGGACACACAUGUGCACACUGCAUGCCCCAGUGCACACACGCACAACCCAUUUCGUAGGGACACACAUGUGCACACUGCAUGCCCCAGUGCACACACACACAACCCAUUUCAUAGGGACACACGUGCACACUGCAUGCCCCAGUGCACACACGCACAACCCAUUUCGUAGGGACACACAUGUGCACACUGCAUGCCCCAGUGCACACACGCACAACCCAUUUCGUAGGGACACACAUGUGCACACUGCAUGCCCCAAUGCACAGACACACAACCCAUUUUGUAGGGUCCUAGCAGAAUUUUCUCUGUAGGAAAAGCACUCAAUCU